rnacentral:lncRNA from 1 species
AUGGACAGUCCAGUGUAUCAACCAGUGUGUUGCCCAAGGCCACAAAAAACAGCAGAAGUUUACGUGUUAAGUCCUCAGCAAAAGGAAAAUAUUUCCAAGGCUUCCCAAUUCACAGCCUUAGUCUGCAAAUACAUGUCACUUCAUAGUUUCUUUGGAAUGAACGUUAAUAAGAAAUGUUACUUGGAUCAAUCAAGUUCAUGCAUAUAUAGUGCAGGAGGAAAAACCAAAAACUCUUCUGGAAAAGAAUUUUUUUAACCAUUUCAAUAGCUGUUAAACUAUAAAUGCAAACAAACAUGAGACAAAAGGGUACAGAUACAUUAGUAUGUAAGAAAGUGUGUUUAGAAUCCAUUUCAGAGACAGUGAAGUUAAAAUCAGCUGGGCAAAAUUUCCUUCAGUUUUCUGAAUGUUUUUUUAAAAUAUAUAUAUAAAUUUAGGGGGAACCUCUGAAAUAUUACCAAACUGUUGCCCCCUUUAAUGACAUAAAACAAUUAUCUUAGCUACAAUUCUUGCAAAGUGCUGGUGUAUUUUAAAGUGGAGAUACAGUAUCCAUUUUUACCAAAGAACCUGAACAGCAAUUCUUAGCGGAAAGAAUGGAAACAAAAUACAGAAAAAAGGGAAGAAAGGCUAUCUAGGAAAUGCAGUGCAAUGCUCUACCCAUUCCUUGGCGUUAAGACCCACUGAACUCUGCUGGAGUUACUGCUGAGUAGGCAAUUAUAGGACUGAACUGUUGAUGACUUUGCAGCCAUGGCUCUCAGCAUGCUUUCUCUUCUGCUCCGUACUCCUGUGAUAGAUGGUUGUGCUGCAACAAUGCCAGAGAAUUUUAUACGAAGGGGAAAUGCCUUUUCUUUUUUUUUUGAGAUUUAACUCCCUUACCCUUCCUCGUCAACCCUUUCCACUUUCUCCCUUAGUUGCCAUUAUAAACAAUGUCUACUACAUGGGCUUUUGCUUAUCUGUAAAGGGAAGGCAUGGCAAACAAAACAGGGAGAAACAGACACAGAACACACAUACAAACCUACAGUGAAAAAAGUUGGCCUCAGACACUGUCAUAGCUGUUUGACUGUUUUUAGUAUUUUUGUUAGAUAUUUGCAAAGGGAAGCCUUUUCUACAGAGGAUAAAUUAAUUUCAAGAAAAAUGUCUUGAGUUUUAAGAAUAAACAUGUCUCCAAAAGAGGAGACA